rnacentral:lncRNA from 1 species
UGGAGGUCAUAAUACCCAUGUAUAAUCCAAAAAUAUAUAUAUUACUGAACGUAUACGCAAAAUAUCUAAAUGUUUGUGAACUUGUGUUAUUGAGAUUUUUUUUUUCAUUUGCCUAAUUGAGCCAUUUUGGACGGAAAUAUGUUUAAACUAUUUGUAGGUCAUGUUUAAAUAAAUAUUUAACAUGUUAUUUUAAAUUUCAAAAGAAAAAGAGAUUUUCAAAUAAAUUUCAAAAGAAAAGGAGUUUUUCAAAUUGAAGUCUGAUUUACUUGUACUAGCAUAUGCUAAAAACAUUGAUGUCACUGAUGUCUAGACCAAAAUCCAUAUACAUCUUUAUAACGGUUGUAUUCACUGUUAAAAUAAUUUGGCUCUUGAAACAAAAAGUGUUGUGUGACAUGGUCCCUCAGUUUCAUAAAUAUGUGCUGUAUAUUUUUAGAAGAAAAAUAUUAUUUAAAUAUAUAUAUAUAUAUAUAUAUAUAUAUUUGUAUUUCAAUAAUUUUUUAUCAACUAUUAAUGAUUUAGCCGAAAAAGUGAUGAAGAUUAAAAUAUAAAGAGUUUUGGUUUUCGGAAAAAGGCACACAUGCAGAGUAAACACACAUAAUUUAGAGCAGUCUGAUCUCUAAAGUGUGCUCUUAGAUCAAUGACAAAAGUUUGACCAAAAAAAAAAAAAAAAAAAAGAUCAAUGACAAAAUAAUAUCAGACACGUAUCUAAUACAUUUUCUUUGUUAUUCUUGUGUGCAGAGCCGGGCCUCACAUAUGCAAGGCUAGACGAAACUAAAAUAUUUUUGACCCUGUAAGCAAUUUAUUUUUAGAAAAUAGCGGUAUGAUACUAAACUUGACUCAAACUCAGAACCCUACGCACUUAACUAACUAAGUUUUACCAUCUGAACUAACUGAUCUUCAACAAAAUUUACCCCUAUAUUAUUUUAAGCAUACCGCCCGCGAGCUAAUGAUUGAUCAGCUUCUAUUAAGUACCAGCCCUGCUUGUGUGUGUUGAUAAACGAGUUAUUCUUGGGUUCACCCCCUAGGGUGAACCUCUAGGUUCACCAACCAAUAGGAUUAUGCUAUUUCAAAUUUGAUAUCUUUUAAAAAAGGAAACAAAAUAUUGUCAUUUUAUUUUAUGUUUUUAAAAUAAAAAGGUAAAAAAAUAGUAGUUACAAAAAAAAGAUUUUUUUUUUUAAAUAUUGUUAACGUCGUCAGCAAAACACUAAACCCUAAAUCCUAAUCCCUAAACCCUAAAUCUGAAACCCUAAACCCUUGGGUAAAUCCUAAACCCUUGGGUAAACCCUAAACCCUUGGAUAAACCCUAAACCCUUGGGUAAAUCCUAAACCCUUGGGUAAAUCCUAAACCCUUGGAUAAAUCAUAAAUUUUAAAUCAAAAACACUAAACACUAAAAUCUUAAACCCUUGAGUGUUUUAGUGUUUAAUGUUUUUGAUUUAGAGUUUAUGAUUUAUCCAAAGAUUUAUGGUUUAUCCAAGGGUUUAGGGUUUCGGAUUUAGGGAUUAGGAUUUAGGGUUUAGUUUUUUUCCUGACGACUUAAAUUUUUUUUUUUUGUAAUUACUAUUAUUUUUAUUUUUUAUCUUUUUAUUUUAAAAAUCUAAUAUAAUUUGACAAUAUUUUGUUUCCUUUUAUAAAAGAUAUCAAAUUUGAAAUAACAUAAUCCUAUUGGUUGGUGAACCUAGAGGUUCACCCUAGGGGGUGAACCCAAGAAUAAGUCUUGAUAAACUGUGUUUUUACCAAAUUUUUCUUUUCUCAAGUUAAACUAUAUGUAUUUUUGAAUAUUUUGCUUUUUAUCAAGUUUUUUCAAGUUUAGAUCUAUUUAAAGGAAAACGUCAUUUAAAAAGUAAACAAACAUAUGGAAGUACAAGAUUGUGCAGAGGUAUCAAAAGUCUGAUAUUGAAUUAAAAAGAUUUCACUGAUGGAUAGAGAUUAAUCUAAC